rnacentral:rRNA from 1 species
CCUACGGGGGGCUGCAGUGAGGAAUAUUGGUCAAUGGACGAGAGUCUGAACCAGCCAAGUAGCGUGAAGGAUGACUGCCCUAUGGGUUGUAAACUUCUUUUAUAUGGGAAUAAAAUGUUCCACGUGUGGGAUUUUGUAUGUACCAUAUGAAUAAGGAUCGGCUAACUCCGUGCCAGCAGCCGCGGUAAUACGGAGGAUCCGAGCGUUAUCCGGAUUUAUUGGGUUUAAAGGGAGCGUAGGUGGAUUGUUAAGUCAGUUGUGAAAGUUUGCGGCUCAACCGUAAAAUUGCAGUUGAAACUGGCAGUCUUGAGUACAGUAGAGGUGGGCGGAAUUCGGGGUGUAGCGGUGAAAUGCUUAGAUAUCACGAAGAACUCCGAUGGCGAAGGCAGUUCACUGGACUGCAACUGACACUGAGGCUCGAAAGUGUGGGUAUCAAACAGGAUUAGAUACCCGUGUAGU